rnacentral:lncRNA from 1 species
CCUAUUGUCAUUCCAAAACAUACCAUUCCAUUCCAAAACAUAUCAUUCAAUAACCAAUAAAACAUACCAUUCCAUUCCAAAACAUACCAUUCAAUAACCAACAAAACAUACCAUUCAUACAAUUCAUGUUAUUCAAAACAAAACUAAACCAAAAGAUAAAAGAAGAGGAACCUAUUUGUUGGUGUCAGUCACGCUAUUCGUCCCACUUUUAGUCGGACUUUGAGUCGCUUUUUUGCCAACAUUUUCGACAUUUGAAUCUCUUGUAGUAGGCGUGAUUAUGUUGUCGCGUCCUUGGCUCGACUGACCCUAAUGUAAAAAAGUCCUAUAAAAAACAAUCAAAUUAAAUAAUAAAUUAUAAUGAAUUAUAAUGAAAAUUAAUACUCACCCGCUCUUAAGAAUAGUGGCGGGAGUUGGUGCAUCCGGUUGUCUCAAUCCUUUUGUCCAUUUUCUUCGAUGUUCUUCAUCGAAGCGGUCCUCUACGAUUUCUUGAUCUAUUCUUGCAGAUUGUGAUCGUCCGUCGUUUGUUCGUUUACGACUUCGUCCGCGUGCCAUUUCUAAUGGAAUAUUUUCUAAAUGAAUAAAUAAAAUGAAAUUAGUUCGAUGACCUUUUGAAUCUUGCCGGUUAUACAUCCAAGUUCGAUCAUCAUCGGUCAUUCUAAAAUUUUAAACCAAUACAAUUAGUUUUUAAACCAAUACAAUUUUAAAGCUAAGGAUUUUCCCAUGGAAUUAAUAAAAUAUCCAAUAAAACAACAUGGGAAUUAAUCUAGCUUAAUUUACUAUAUAGAUAUUUUAAUGGAAUUUUAGAUAUUUUAUACUAUAUAGUUGACUACCUAGGAGUCUAUUUUCAUUUAGGAUGUCUAGAGUAUAUUUUCUUUGGGAUAGAAAGAUCCCAUGAUUUUUCUGUUUUUUCAAUUAUUUUGUUUCAUAUCUGCUUAUUUGUUUGAAUAUAUUCAUUAGAUAUAUUUUCAGGACUUUCUAUUUCAAGCUCUUGUAUAUCUGCUUAUUGUCUGAGUCUGAGUUUGUUUUGUUUGAAAAUGAUUUUUCAUUUUCUAUUGAGUUUGAUGACUCAGGGGAGUUCUCCCUGU